ACUGGGAUGGCUCAGUUGGUAGAACAUGAGACCCUUAAUCUCAGGGUUGUGGGUUCAAGAUUGGGCAAAAGAUUCCUGUGUUCCAGGG